rnacentral:rRNA from 1 species
CUUUAUUGGAGAGUUUGAUCCUGGCUCAGGACGAACGCUGGCGGCAUGCCUAAUACAUGCAAGUCGAGCGGACUUGAAGAGAAGCUUGCUUCUCUGAUGGUUAGCGGCGGACGGGUGAGUAACACGUAGGCAACCUGCCCUCAAGUUUGGGACAACUACCGGAAACGGUAGCUAAUACCGAAUAGUUGUUUUCUUCUCCUGAAGAGAACUGGAAAGACGGAGCAAUCUGUCACUUGGGGAUGGGCCUGCGGCGCAUUAGCUAGUUGGUGGGGUAACGGCUCACCAAGGCGACGAUGCGUAGCCGACCUGAGAGGGUGAUCGGCCACACUGG